GAUGAACGCUGGCGGCGUGCUUAACACAUGCAAGUCGAACGGAGUUAAUGACCAUGAUUUCUUCGGAAUGAUAAUCAUUAACUUAGUGGCGGACGGGUGAGUAACGCGUGAGUAACCUGCCUCAUACAGGGGGAUAACACUUAGAAAUGGCUGCUAAUACCGCAUAAGCGCACAGUACCGCAUGGUACCGUGUGAAAAACUCCGGUGGUAUGAGAUGGACCCGCGUCUGAUUAGCUAGUUGGUAAGGUAACGGCUUACCAAGGCGACGAUCAGUAGCCGGCCUGAGAGGUGAUCGGCACAUUGGGACUGAGACACGGCCCAAACUCCUACGGGGAGGCAGCAGGUGGGGAAUAUUGCACAAGUGGGGGAAACCCUGAUGCAGCAACGCCGCGUGAGUGAAGAAGUUAUCGUAAUAGUAAAGCUCUAUCAGCAGGGAAGAAAUGACGGUACCUGACUAAGAAGCCCCGGACUAACUACGUG
rnacentral:rRNA from 1 species